CCCUAUUAUGAAAGGUAUAUUAAAUUGGUAUAUUUUGACAAUUAAAAAGUUUGGCGGUUAUUGAUUAAUUUAGAGGAGCUUGUCUUUAUGAGAAUUUGCUCUUUAUAUUUUAUUAUUGAAUUAGAGGUUUAUUCAUCUCCGUUAUUAGAUAAAUUUUGAAGGAAAUUUGGCUUCGUAUUUCAGGUCAAGAUGUAGCAUUCUUUAGGGGAGAUUAGCUACAAUUAUAAAUUAAUUGGAUCUUAUUUAGUUUGAUUGUGAGAGAAAAUGAAUUUGGUUGUAAUAAUAAUUAGAAUGUUAUUAUGAAAUAGUGUUAAUAAUGUA
rnacentral:rRNA from 2 species